rnacentral:rRNA from 1 species
UACGAAGGUCCCGAGCGUUAUCCGGAUUUAUUGGGUUUAAAGGGUGCGUAGGCGGGUUAUUAAGUCAGUGGUGAAAGCCUUCAGCUUAACUGAAGAACUGCCAUUGAUACUGAUGAUCUUGAGUAUGAUUGAGGUGGGCGGAAUGUGUCAUGUAGCGGUGAAAUGCUUAGAUAUGACACAGAACACCGAUUGCGAAGGCAGCUCACUAAGUCAUAACUGACGCUGAUGCACGAAAGCGUGGGGAGCAAACAGG